CCUACGGGAGGCAGCAGUGAGGAAUAUUGGUCAAUGGGCGCGAGCCUGAACCAGCCAAGUCGCGUGAGGGAAGACGGCCCUACGGGUUGUAAACCUCUUUUGCCGGGGAGCAACGGGCGCCACGUGUGGCGCCACUGAGAGUACACGGAGAACAAGCAUCGGCUAACACCGUGCCAGAAGCCGCGGUAAUACGGAGGAUGCGAGCGUUAUCCGGAUUUAUGGGUUUAAAGGGGUGCGUAGGCGGAGCGUAAAGUCAGUGGUCAAAUUGAGGGGCUCAACCUCUUCCCGCCAUUGAAACUGGCGCUCUUGAGUGGAAGAGAAGUAUGCGGAAUGCGUGGUGUAGCGGUGAAAUGCAUAGAUAUCACGCAGAACCCCGAUUGCGAAGGCAGCAUGCCGGCUUCCGACUGACGCUGAAGCACGAAAGCGUGGGGAUCGAACAGGAUUAGAUACCCGUGUAGUC
rnacentral:rRNA from 1 species